rnacentral:siRNA from 1 species
AUUUAAGAUACGGUGGAAGGGGAU